UUGAUCUCAAAUCAGGUAGGACUACCCGCUGAACUUAAGCAUAUCAAUAAGCGGAGGAAAAGAAACUAACAAGGAUUCCCCUAGUAACUGCGAGUGAAGCGGGAAGAGCUCAAAUUUAAAAUCUGGUGUGC
rnacentral:rRNA from 1 species